GUGGUCGAAAAUGUUGCGACGUUGAGAAUGUCAAUUUACAAUGAGAAAACACCGUUGCUAUGAGCUAACUAAAACCAGGUAUGAGUCAACAAUGCAACACACACACAAAGUGAAAGGAAUCAAAUUGCAUACAUCUACUGGUUCCUCACCUGGAGACUGCUGGCAACUCAUAUGUACAUUGUGCUUGCAAUAUUAAAAUGCCCUUUAAUACCAAA